GAAAACCCUAACGGAUUCGCGAAGACGAGAGAAAGGGCGGUUUUUUUCUUUUUAAAGGACCCGGUUACGGAUAACCGGGUCACAUAACCAGAUCCUUAACCGGAUCCGGAAUUUUUUUAACCGCCUGGGUGUAAUCCGGGCGGAUAACCGCCCAGAUGCACCCGGAUUUCCGGGUUUCGGACUAGAUCCGGAAAAAAAAGGGACCGGUUCAACACCCUUAUAUAAUAAUAAUAUAUUAUAAUACUUUACUAUCAA